rnacentral:misc_RNA from 1 species
GAUGAAGAACGUAGCGAAAUGCGAUAAGUAAUGUGAAUUGCAGAAUUCAGUGAAUCAUCGAAUCUUUGAACGCACAUUGCGCCCGCCAGUAUUCAGGCGGGCAUGCCUGUUCGAGCGUCAUUUCAACCCUCAGGACCCUUUGGACCUGGUGUUGGGGCUCGGCCGCUACCCCGCGGCCGUCCCCGAAAGAUAGUGGCGGUCUCGCUGUAGCGUCCUCUGCGUAGUAAUUACACCUCGCACUGGAACGCGGCGCGGCCACGCCGUUAAACACCCCACUUCUCAAGGUUGACCUCGGAUCAGGUAGGAAUACCCGCUGAACUUAAGCAUAUCAAUAAGCGGAGGA